rnacentral:rRNA from 1 species
GAUGAACGCUGGCGGCGUGCCUAAUACAUGCAAGUCGAGCGAAUGGAUUAAGAGCUUGCUCUUAUGAAGUUAGCGGCGGACGGGUGAGUAACACGUGGGUAACAUGCCCAUAAGACUGGGAUAACUCCGGGAAACCGGGGCUAAUACCGGAUAACAUUUUGAACCGCAUGGUUCGAAAUUGAAAGGCGGCUUCGGCUGUCACUUAUGGAUGGACCCGCGUCGCAUUAGCUAGUUGGUGAGGUAACGGCUCACCAAGGCAACGAUGCGUAGCCGGCCUGAGAGGGUGAUCCGCCACCCUGGGACUGAGACACGGCCCAGACUCCUACGGGAGGCAGCAGUAGGGAAUCUUCCGCAAUGGACGAAAGUCUGACGGAGCAACGCCGCGUGAGUGAUGAAGGCUUUCGGGUCGUAAAACUCUGUUGUUAGGGAAGAACAAGUGCUAGUUGAAUAAGCUGGCACCUUGACGGUACCUAACCAGAAAGCCACGGCUAACUACGUGCCAGCCGCCGCGUAA